rnacentral:rRNA from 1 species
UACGUAGGGCGCGAGCGUUGUCCGGAAUUACUGGGCGUAAAGCGCACGUAGGCGGAUAUUUAAGUCAGGGGUGAAAUCCCAGAGCUCAACUCUGGAACUGCCUUUGAUACUGGGUAUCUUGAGUAUGGAAGAGGUAAGUGGAAUUGCGAGUGUAGAGGUGAAAUUCGUAGAUAUUCGCAGGAACACCAGUGGCGAAGGCGGCUUACUGGUCCAUUACUGACGCUGAGGUGCGAAAGCGUGGGGAGCAAACAGG